rnacentral:lncRNA from 1 species
CUUCAUACUUAAAUCAGCCCAAUAUCAAAGGCUAGUAUUUGAAAAGGUUUUAUUAUCAUGCUACAACCAUAAUAUUUGGUACAAAUCUUUGUUUUGUACUACUUUUUGAUAUAUUAUAUUGUUUAGAUGUCUGCAAAAAUCCUACUUCCGGUAAAUUCCAACAUGGCGGACAUUGUACUAAAAUAAGCUUAUUUUUUAGGGAGGGUAAUUGAAAUGUGUUUAAACGUAUUGCUACUAUCAUUACAUUGUGCAGGAACCUUUCGUUGGUGCUUCUAAUGAAUACAAUGUAUAAUAAAUCUGUCUUUAAAACCCCUACUUCCGGUAAUAUUCAAAAUGGCGG